AUUGAACGCUGGCGGCAGGCUUAACACAUGCAAGUCGAGCGGGGUGAUGGUGCUUGCACUAUCACUUAGCGGCGGACGGGUGAGUAAUGCUUAGGAAUCUGCCUAUUAGUGGGGGACAACAUCUCGAAAGGGAUGCCAAUACCGCAUACGUCCUACGGGAGAAAGCAGGGGAUCACUUGUGACCUUGCGCUAAUAGAUGAGCCUAAGUCGGAUUAGCUAGUUGGUGGGGUAAAGGCCUACCGAGGCGACGAUCUGUAGCGGGCCUGAGAGGAUGAUCCGCCACACUGGGACUGAGACACGGCCCAGACUCCUACGGGAGGCAGCAGUGGGGAAUAUUGGACAAUGGGGGGAACCCUGAUCCAGCCAUGCCGCGUGUGUGAAGAAGGCCUUAUGGUUGUAAAGCACUUUAAGCGAGGAGGAGGCUCUUUUGGUUAAUACCCAAGAUGAGUGGACGUUACUCGCAGAAUAAGCACCGGCUCACUCUGUGCCAGCAGCCGCGGUAA
rnacentral:rRNA from 1 species